CUGAUCACCAAGAAUCCCAAGCAAAGUUUCCCUCUCAUUUUCCAUCAAAUCAUGUGAAGUGCCAAAUUGAAGAGCAGCUCUUGCAACGCAAGAAUUGUCACUUUGAUUCUCCGCUCCAUACUUGCAACAAUCUUCAGCCAACUUUCUCGCUACAAUAUUUGAAUACAAAAAUAUUGUGCACAAGAACUAGUCAAGAAAAAAAAAAUCAAAUAUUAUAACGAAUGCAAGAGCAAACAAACAACCUAUUUCCAUUUGUUUCAAGCUUACUGCAACAAGCCCUUCAAUGCCACGAACAAUAUUCCUCUGAAAAUGCUGCGCUACAGAGCAUAUAUUCCAAAUUAUUGUUCAGAUAAAACCAUAGAAACCAUCAUAAUUAUUCAACAUACAUUAAGCUCCGUUUGGUAAAUACUUGCAACUUCAGUCUAGAGAAUACAGUUCUAUAUAUGUAGCAGUCUAAAGGAGGAUGGUGCCUUAGCUGCCCUGGUGGAAUUGUAUAGAUUUUGAAGUUGUUGGUGACACUCAAUUUCAGCUUCAUCAACUGCCUGUACAAAUCAUAAAAAACUAAUGAAAAAAAUAAAUAAAAUCGAGAAAUUUCACUAAUUAAAAGUCUAAAUAUAAUUUUAAAAAAGAAAGAAACGCACUUGGUGCUGCUUGGCGACUUGUUCUCGGAGCUUGAUUGCCUGUUUCUUGAUAGCUUCCAUACUGUUUCUUUCAAAAAGCGGCGACGGCUCAGCUCAUG
rnacentral:lncRNA from 1 species